GGAUGUGUGCUGUGUGUUAAGGCUCUCAUGUGGAAUUCAUGCAAAGAAAGCAAAAAGAGCCUUUUAUGAUUUGAACGAUGAUGGCCUUGGGUUAAAUCCUUCUCAUAUUUGUAUCUUAAUAUUCAGAGGAGUCAUCACUAAGUCUACUAUAGCUGAAAAUAAGGAGUUUGAUGAGAAUGAAGAUCAUGAAAAGUUCUCCAAUGGUUCAUGGACUUGAGCACAUUUUCAUGUACCUGCUGGCCAUUAGAAUAUCCUUUUU